AACGAACGCUGGCGGCAUGCCUAACACAUGCAAGUCGAACGAGACCUUCGGGUCUAGUGGCGCACGGGUGCGUAACGCGUGGGAACCUGCCCUUAGGUUCGGAAUAACUCCCCGAAAGGGGUGCUAAUACCGGAUAAUGUCUUCGGACCAAAGAUUUAUCGCCUUUGGAUGGGCCCGCGUUGGAUUACCUAGUUGGUAGGGUAAAAGCCUUCCAAGGCGACGAUCCAUAGCUGGUCUGAGAGGAUGAUCAGCCACACUGGGACUGAGACACGGCCCAGACUCCUACGGGAGGCAGCAGUGGGGAAUAUUGGGCAAUGGGCGAAAGCCUGAUCCAGCAAUGCCGCGUGAGUGAUGAAGGCCUUAGGGUUGUAAAGCUCUUUUACCCGGGAUGAUAAUGACAGUACCGGGAGAAUAAGCUCCGGCUAACUCCGUG
rnacentral:rRNA from 1 species